rnacentral:tRNA from 1 species
GGCCUAGUACCCAAGAAGCUAGGGAGCGCUCUGCAAAAGCGCCAACGUGGGUGCAAAUCCCACCUAGGCCU